CAAAGCUCGUGGAGUGGAUGAGGCCGCUUGGAUUAGUUUAACCGUCUUCCUUGCAUCUUGAGGCCGGAUAGAAUGAAAUACCGAGGCUGGAUGAACCAGCCUCGACUAAACCUCGAACCCAGAGCCAAAGUGAACCCAGGAUCAGAUCUGGCUUAGCUCAGGGUAGCUUAACUUCCGGUGUUUGUUUAUUGUGAAGUGAGAUAAUGGGAAGAGUGUUUGAGCAAACAACAGUUAGAAUUUAGAUUGUGUCAACAUUAUAAGAGAACAGAUUUUAAAAGUCAAAAAAUGAAAAGGGUUUGUAUACUUCUUCUGCUGGCUGUUCAAGUUCGUGAGUCACCAGCCCGUCGGAAGCGUCAACAACAUGAUCAUCGAAUAGAAACAGAUCAAUAUGGAGAUCAUUAUCAAUCAGUAGAUCAAGAUCACAGCUCUCAGCAAUACGCACAUCCAUUUCCGAAUUCGGAGGACACAACGGAAAAUUCGGAAAACCCGUUUUAUCAUUCCGGAAAUGAGUUUACGGAUUCGGAAAAUCGAUUUUAUGAAUCUAGAAAUGAGCAGAGCAGGUCUAAAACCAGACUUGACAUUCAACACACUCAGCCUGAUAAUCAGUUUACAAAAGAUGAAUCAAACCCGGCUCAAGGAAGGAAUAAUCGGCAUCAAAACCAGCCUCAUCGGAAACAACGACGGCCUCAUGACUCAAGGUAUCUGAACAGUCCAGGUACUGAAGUUCAUGACACUCACAGCUCUGAAGACUACCUGGAUACAGAGCAAGAACAGUCUGAUGCUAAUCAGCAGCGACGAAUGCAGAGACGUGAACGGCAGAGAUUACUUGAGGAACAGCAGGACCAGAUGAAGAAACAGAUCAGGCACAAACUCCUCAUCAUAGUUCUGGACGGUUUUCGCUGGGAUUAUAUGGAACAGUAUGAACGCCGAACAGGACUUACUUUGGACGGAUUUAGAGCCUUUCAGAGUGGAGGGGUUAGAUCUGAAUAUUUGGAAUCUGUUUUCCCAGCAGAGAGCUUCCCAGCUUGGCAAACUCUGCAAACAGGUUUGUACCCUGAAAACCAUGAUAUUGUUGGAAACCAGUUUUAUGAUUCGGAAAUUCACAAACAGCUUGGAAAUUCAGGACAAGCAUUUUUUAACAUUGAGGACCAGCGUUCUACUCAGCACAUGAAAUGGUGGCAGAAGGAUGAACCGUUGUGGGCCACUGCUAAGAAACAUGAUGUCACAUUUGCUGCGUAUUUGUGGGGACGAUGCGAUAUACCCUACGACGCAGAGAAACGAUUAAGGUUUGAUUUUUGUGAAAACUUGUAUCAGAAGGAUGGAACUAAAACCCUGAGAAUAAAUGUGGACAAGGCUUUGAUGAAUUUCCAAAGUGAAUUCGAUGCAGCCAUUAUCUAUGAGGACUCAUUGGAACGAGCUGCAGAGGAUUAUGGACCGAACUCAAGUCAGUUGGAAGAUAAAGUAAAAGAGUUGGAUCUUGCGAUCAGCCAUCUUUCUGAUCGACUCAACGUGACAAAUAUGGCUGAUAUUGUAAAUGUCGUCAUUCUCUCAGAUCAUGGAAUGUCCCAGGCAGCUCCGCCUCGCAGGACGGAUUUGACAGAAUCUGGAGAAGAAAUGGAGAUCAGAAAAAUUCAACUUUCAGAUACACUUUCAAGAGAAAAUGUCAGUGUUGCGAGAACUUUAAGGUGGGUGGUUGGGAGUGGGUCCCAUGCAGCUGUGUAUCCCAGGGGAAAAGAGUUUAGACAACAGAUUAUAGAAGAGCUCUCCAAUAUUCAGGGAAUACAGGUAUUUGAUCACCCUGAUAUCCCUGAGAGGUUUCACUACAAACUAAGCAAGAAUACUCCACCAAUACUGGUUCUAGCUUCUCCGGGUACUGUUAUCCUGAGCAGUACAUCAGACGUUCAGAGACCUUCCUACCUGGAUAGAAACGGUGGUUACAACCCCCAGAGAUUGAUUGAGCAGACGAAGAUGGGAGUCGCUGGUUAUGAUCCUGAAGAACCAGAUAUGAGAGGAAUAUUUAUGGCGAGAGGACCAGCAUUUAAAGACACGGGUGAGGUUCUGCCCCCAGUCCAACUAGUAGAUGUAUAUGAACUCUUGUGUAAGGUUUUGGAUAUAGAGCCGCGUCCUAAUGAUGGCAUCUUUGCUAGAAUUCAGGCCUUUCUCAAGGGCGGAGCAACAGAUUAUCAGUGUUCCAACUUUCUCCUACUUCUUCUACUACCUGCCCUACUCCAAACAUUGUAGAGUAGCUUUUCUUCAAAAUUACUCCAACCUACUCCUACUCUUAUUCCUAUUCCUUCUCCUACUCCUACUUCUACUCCUACUGCCAACUCUACUCCAAACAUUGUAGAUAAUUCCUAUUCCAGAACUACUCUAACCUACUCCUACUUCUAUUACUACUACUCCUACUCCUAUUCCAGAACUACUUCAACCUACUCCUACUCCUAUUACUCCUACUCCUACUCCUACUCCUACUUCUAUUACUCCUACUCCUACUCCUAUUCCAGAACUACUCUAACCUACUCCUACUCCAACUCCUACUCCUACUGCCUGUACACUACUCCAAACAUUGUAGAGUAUUCCACAACUUCCGAACAACUCCAAUCUACUUCUCAUACCCUAAUUUAUAGACUUUGGACAAAAGAGUUUGUACACCAGAAUAAAAAAGUCUGAUCAGGCCUUCACUUGUGAAAAAAAUGGCUUUCUAAACUAUUAGAUAAAAAAAUCAAUGGAAAAGUGUGAUUUAAAAAAUGGAAUCAAAGCAAGUUUUCAAUGGAACAUUAGGCUUUCAGCAAUCAUAACGUUGUGAACUUUUUUAACAGUGUACAUGUCUUAUUUAUUGUACAUGUCUCAGUGAUUGUACAAGCAUCGUACGUAGUGAUUGUACCAUACAAGGAAAUACCAGUACUUUUAUACAGUAUUGUGUAUACUGCAAUUGCUCAAAAGCAAAUAAAUAUAUACUGAGCUGGGAAUUUUUGUAUUGGAUGCUCUUAAUCUAGCUUGAUCGAUCUCAAUAUCCACUGUGGAAACUUUUAAUUUUUCUGCUUAAUCCUUUCUUUUUGGAUAUCCCUACUGGGUUCCGACUAAUGCAAAUGUUCUCUCAGUGGUUGCACGCAAAUUUCUAAUUAGCUGUUUGGUUUUUACAAUCCACACUCUGAUUGAGAGAUUAAAUUAAUCUGCAGAUAAACCAAAAGAAGAGAUCAAGCAUUGAUCUUGAUUUAUAUAAUUCAAAAGUUUCCAGUUCAGACCUGGGAUUGUUUGCACUGAAUGUACAGUAAAGUCGAUGAUUCCUAGAGUUAGAUGAAAUCCAAAUCCAAAAAUCCCAGCGUUGAAUAAAGACGAUCAAAUUAUCAAUUUUCAUAAAAUUAAACUUUAUCAAAGUUUUAUAAUCAUCAAAAAAUCAAUGGAAAAAAGAUUUCUUAAUCUACGGACGAUAUUGUCAUUAAAGAAGAAAAAAAAUCAUUGAAUUUCAGGGUUUUUUACUAGCUUGAAAAUAUCUUAACUAUUGCUUUCUAUUACUCUGCUUUAACACGUUAUAACACAUUCAAUAUUAAACUUUAAUAUAUCUCAGGUUAAAAUAGUUUUAUAAAGAUUAUCAAAUACGAAAUUUACAAUCAUACUCGUUUUUUUAUGCAUACUUUUAAAUCAAUGGUUAUGUUAUUUUCGUUAUUAAACAAUAUUUUACGUUAAUUUGGGUUUUUAAGGGAAUGCCGUGUUAUUUAUGCCUGAUUCAAAACACACUAUUUAACCCUUAAUCUGAACAACAAUGUUUCUACAGCAAGAACAUAGUCACGUAGAAAAACCACAAUUAAAAAAAACAAUUUCUAGGAUUAUAUCUUAUGAAGUCUUGACCGGGCAAAGUUUUAAAGGGUACCGUUGUGAAUCAGACAUUCCACUCUAUGUUUGCAGGGAGACUUGAACUUCGUGUACAGUCCCUUUAGCGGAACUUUACCAACUAGUUUUACUCUUUUGUUGAGCUAAAUUUGACAAUUAACACUUUUGUUUCUUCAUCUGUUCUUUCUAAAAAUUAAUAAAAAAUGAACAAUCAAUUAAAAUUUAGAUUUAAAAUUCUUGACAAUUUUUUUGCAUGUA